UUAUGUUACCGUUCUUCUGUACACCGGCAGUUCUGUUGAUUGCAGUGGUUGUAUUUUAUUGUGCUCCAAAAAUUUACUUAUAUGAGUUUUGAUGACAUUAUAUUUUUGAUUUUUAUACAUCAUAAUAACAGUAACAUUAUUUAGUUAAGUAUGUCUAACAAGGAAAUAAAAGGGUUGUUAAAAGAAGCUCGUGAAGCAGUAAGAAGUAAAAAGAUUUCAGAAGCAAUCAAACUAUGUAACAAAAUAUUGAAAGAGGAUAAACAAAACUACAUGGCUCUUUUGCUGAUGGGAGCUUGUUAUCAGGACACGAACAAGACGGAAGCUGCUGAUUAUUUGAGACAAGCACUAGCCCUUAGUAGCGACCCAACAAUAGCACUUCAAGGAUUAGUAAAUUGUGUCACUGAUAGAGAGUUGCCAGACGUAUGUGAACAACUUCUUGAGCUAACACCUGACAAAUUCGCCGAUCUACACAUUAAGUUACUGAGAGUGGCGAAAAAUGAAGUGGAAAUAGAUAAAAUUAUAAAUGUUUUUGAUAAGGAAACUAAAAUUAAUACUGACUUGGAAAAUCGUAUUUCAUCUGCUUACAACUGCCUGCUUAAAAUUCUAAAAGAACCAGCAUUAGAAAGUAAAUACGAAUCUCUAUUAGAACGAGUAUUAGAACACGAGACCAAAGUCGUUGAAGGUCCAUCUUUGCAUGAAAACUUCAAACGCUAUCUAAAACUACUCUAUCGUUUGAAAAUGUAUGAAAAGCUUAUAGUGAACGCAUCUUUCAUGCACGAGCGAUUCCAAAACGAUAUCUAUCCUUUAGAAUGGAUCUGCAAAGCUUAUGCCGAGCAGCUUCUCAAUGAGCAACAAAUGACGAAUCUACUGUCAAACCCUCUGGAGAAAUACUUCGAUGCAGCCAUAAACAUAAACCCAAAAUCAGCCCUAGCUCUAGUUUCUAAAGGUUUACUGCACUACGAAAGAGGAGAAAUGCAAUUAGCUGAAGAGAUACUUAAAGAAACAGAUAACAUCCAGCCUAACUGGAGUAUUUGUCUGAAAGUAUUAGGAGAAUUAUAUAGCCUCCGUAAAGCAUAUGGUUUAGUUGAAGACAUUUAUAGACAGUUGAAGGUUAUCAAUACAAAUUUUUACAUUGCUCUCAUAGAAGAUGGUAGUGUUGAGAAACUUCACGAAGCUUCGUCGUAUAGCGAAGAGUUAUUAAGUAAAAGUAAUGAUUCUAGAGUAUUGUUUUACAGUAUAAAGCUGCAACUAGCCCUUGGUGACAUGAACAAAAUAGAUGAACAGUUCGUCAAACUAAAAGCAUCGAAUAUAACCUCUGUUCAAUAUGACUAUUUGACAGCGUUGCGUUAUAAAGCCGAAGGAUGCCCAGAAAAAGCAGUAGAAUUGUUGAUACCGCAUGAUAAAAAUUGUGAAUGCCUUUUGGAAUUAUCAAUGCUCUAUUACAAAGCUAAAGAAAUUGAUAAAAGCUUCUUGUGCGCACUACAAGCAACUAAACAUGAACCGAUGAGCGCCAAAUGUUUUUAUAUUCUUGGGUUGAUCUACCUCCACAAUGCAGAUAACAUCAGGGCACGCAAAUGCUUAGAGAAAUGCAUUUUUCUUAACCCAUCGCAUAAACAGGCCAUUAUUUUACUUAGUUCCAUGUAUCGUAGUUUAGGCGAAUGGGAUGCUAACGCACAGUUACUGGAAAAAUCGGUACAUAUCUCCAAAGGCUCCGGAUCGCCAUGGGCAUAUCUUUUACUUGCUUUACACCACCUUGGUCAGCAGAAAUAUGAUGAAGCUAUUGCCGCCUUUCGUACGGUGAUUCGUUAUGACGUGAAUAAUACCACCGGAUGGGAAGGAUUAGCUGAUGCAUAUAUGGGUCGUGGUUCCUACACAUCGGCAAUGAAGGUGUUCGAAAAAAUUGCUGAGAAUAAUCCGAAUAAUCCUUAUCCAAAGCUACAGUUAGCUAAUAUUAAAAAUAUUUUGAAACAGCAUAAAGAAGCUGUCAUCUUGUUUGGUGAACUGUUAGCAGACAACGAUAAAUAUUUUCCGGCUGUGAAAGGAGUUGCUGAGUCUCAUGCAGGUCUUUGUUAUCAUUAUUUCGGACAAAGAUUAAUUGGAAGAAGUCACGAUCACGCACAGUUGGCAGUUGAUUACUUUACCAGGGCCAUAAAGAUGAAACCUAAUUUCGUAUGUCUGUGGAAACAGUUGGGUAACAUUCUGGAUACGGUGGCAGAGUUCCCCAAGUCGAAGGCGCAACUUUUGCUGGAUGGAACAUUAGCAGGCGUUUCCCAUCGUAGUGAGGUGAUGCUUGAAGGCGUAAAACUUUUCCAAUUAGCAGGCCGUUGUUACAGUCGUGCAAUCAAAUUAAGAACCGAAGACAGUUUGCUGUGGUACGAACUGGCAGCGAAUCACUACCGACGAGCAAAAUGUCAUGGCGGAAAUCCAGAAGAUGGACAGAACUUGUUCACUUUAGCUGUUGAAUGCGCAAAACAAUCUAUUAAGUUAGAACCAAGUCGAUGGCAGAACUGGAAUCUUUUAGGUGUAAUUUGUGCCUCUAAACAGGUUAACAAUUUAGCUUUAGCACAGCAUUGCUUUAUUGAAGCAAUUUCGGUGGAUAAAAAGACAGCUUCGGUAGGAUGGUCGAAUCUUGGAGUUUUGUAUUUGCUUCAAGGGGAAACAAGUUUAGCCAAUAAAGCCUUUGGCAGAGCUCAGCAGACGGAUACAACUUACAUGAAUGCAUGGAUCGGGCAGGCUAUGAUUGCGGAGCAAAUGGGCCAGGUCGACGAGGCAAUGGAUUUAUUCCGGCAUUGCACCCAACUUGGCUACCAUCCAGAAUCAUCUUUGGGAUAUGCCCACUGGGUUUGCUAUGUACUAAAUGAUAACAAUUACCGAAAAAAUGCACGUUUUCGAUUUGCCAUCGAAAAUAUGUACGCGUUACCGGUUUCACACGACUCCAUCACUUGGCAUUGCACUGAUAAAAACGAGCUUGCAUCUGCAGAAGCACUUCGAUUUUUAGGCUACAUAAGUAAUCGGCUUGGCUUGUGGAGAACUGCAUCAGAGGCUUUCAAGAAAGCGUUGUGCAAAACAACGGGCGUUCAAAAAGAUGAGGUUCUCUGUGAUUUGGGAUGUUGUCUGUUGAAACAAAAGAAAUACGUUGAAGCCGUGGAGUGUUACCAGCAGGUAGGAGAAGCGACAUAUGAAGCUACGGUUGGGAAAGCUUUGGCUCAUUUCAAAGCUGGUCAGUACGAAGAGUCUUACGCUGAGUACGAAAGCGCAUUGAACUGGUUAGCUACUUCAGAUUUAGAAAAGGCGAACGUUUUAAUUGCAAUGUCUGCUAUGGUGUACGCCUUUCAAGGUGAAGCGGAUGCCAAAACGAUUUUAUUUCAAUGCAUUACACUACCCGAACCGCCAGUUUCAGCACUGUUUUCGGCAUGCGCUCUCGGAUUACUACAUAAAGACUCGGUUCUCACUGAGCUGGUUAUAAAAGAGCUGCGAAAGUUUGAAAAUGACCGAACACAUGGUCACCAUGUUGUAUAUCUAGUAUCGCAAUUCUAUUGGACAAACUGUAGUUUGCUCAAUAUGCGGUUCAUACUUUAGGCAGGUGGAGAUUUAUAAAAAUCAUAUUAAAACAAAUCGCUGUACUUAAACAUCACUUUGAACGUGCAACUGGGAUAAAUCACACACGCUUUAUUGACAAUUAUUUUUCUAAGCGGAAAAGACUCAUUCAAGUUUCGAGAACGUACAUCUAUAAAAAACUGCACAUUAACGACUGCGACAGACUUGUAAAUUUUUGUUGGCGUUUCAAAAAUAUUGAAGGAAGAUUUUUCUACAGUCUUGGUCAGUUUUGGUAAUGAUGCUACCAUCUUGGAUACAACUACUACGUCUCCUAUUCUCGCAUUAGUUGAUAUGAAAUAUAGUACGUCAAAAGUCGAAUAUUCUAACUCUCGAAAUUCUGUUACAGGUCGCGAUAUGUACUACAAAUAUCCUGCUGUAGUUUCAAAAACUCUAGAGUUUUUUCAGUUAUUUUCACUGAAACUUAAGCCUGAUAAAGGCACCAGAUCAGUUGCAACAAUAGUAGGUAAACAACAACAACCAGUUCGAACACUUUUAACCAAACUAGCUAAAAUUCAAUAGAUUUUUUUUUUACUUGUAUUCAAACCAAAACUUGCCAUUUAUAAUGGGACGUGGGACGUUUUUGUUAACAUUAUUAAAAAAGUCUUCGUCGGUCGACUUUUCUUCAACGCAACGUCAAAAAUGUUUAAUUCUACUAAUUUAUAUCAGAAGACGAAAUCGUUUCAGUAAGUAACUAGAAUGUCAAAGCUUUUCUUUAACAAAAGAAUUAAAU